CGGAUAGUUAAAGAUUAUUUUAUAAAUACAAGUGUUAAUAAAUUGGUCAUGCACAACAAGUCAAAGUCGGUAUUUUAAGUCUUCGUGUCUAUAGGUUGAAAAGUAUUUGAUUAGGAUUAUUGGUUUGUUAUAGGAGGAAUUUCGGGUUCGAAAUUAGGAGCUCCGUAAUUGUGUGCAAAGAUCGAGAUAGGUGAUGGCGAUCGGACAACGUGAACUAUAUGCUGCAUUGGGAAUGAUGGGCGGUGAUCACCUAGUUUAAUUUAGUAUACAUAGUAUUAGUGGUGUAGCUAUUUUGAAAGUGUAUCAAACUAUUAUUAUUACUAUUAUUAUUAAUGAAAGUUAAGUACUAUUUUCCGCUACAAAACUCUGUUAAGCCUUACGUAAUCACGUGGCGGUAAUACUCCCAUGUUACUCCCUAAA